rnacentral:sRNA from 1 species
AUCAGUUCUGAAGGAAGCCUGUGAUACAUAAAAGGUUAGACACCAGAUAGAAUAAGAAAAUUUAUAUUUUCCAAAGUGUCAUACAGACUCUAAAACUAAUUUGAAUAUUUUAUGUUCCAGACCCUCCUGCAUGAAAUGAUACAUGCCUAUUUAUUUGUCACUAAUAACGACAAAGACCGAGAAGGGCAUGGUCCAGAAUUUUGUAAACAUAUGCAUCGCAUCAACAGCCUGACUGGAGCCAACAUAACGGUAUACCAUACUUUUCACGAUGAGGUGGAUGAGUAUCGGCGACACUGGUGGCGCUGCAAUGGGCCGUGCCAGCACAGGCCACCGUAUUACGGCUAUGUCAAACGAGCUACUAACAGGGAACCCUCUGCUCAUGACUAUUGGUGGGCUGAGCACCAGAAAACCUGUGGAGGCACUUACAUAAAAAUCAAGGAACCAGAGAAUUACUCAAAAAAAGGCAAAGGAAAGGCAAAACUAGGAAAGGAACCAGUAUUGGCCGCAGAGAAUAAAGAUAAACCCAACAGAGGUGAGGCCCAGCUAGUAAUCCCUUUUAGUGGGAAAGGAUAUGUUCUAGGAGAAACAAGCAAUUUACCUUCACCUGGGAAACUGAUCACUUCACACGCCAUUAAUAAAACCCAAGAUCUUUUAAAUCAAAA